CUCAAAACCAGGAAGGAUGUGGUA
rnacentral:piRNA from 1 species